AAAGAAAAUUUCCUGACCACCAUCCCCAGAUUUUGCCUGAUGUCCCUGGUCUGGCGCAUUUAAAAAAUGUUAACCAGUAGGAGAGGAAUCAAGUGCAGAAUCAUCACUACAGAGCCAAAGCCUCUUCACUUCUAUGGAGGAAAACAUUUGUCUCCCUGGCCAUCACCAAAUUUUGGAGGCCAGUUGGGCCCCUUCUAUCCGAGGCCACACUCAGAAUUCUUUACAUUCCUCAGUGCUGAUCAGCCUUCCUGUCAGCCCUGAAGAAAGAAAGCAGGUAACCGAGUAAGCUCUGUGAUGGCAGAAAGAGACCGUAAAGAAAGAUUUCUUGCAUACACUGAAUUGGAUCGUUAUCCUCCUAAACUACUCUGAAGGGGAGAGUCCAAGCCACACAGAAGGAGGUUUCUCUUUGUGGUCUAUUGGAGCAAGCGACAAUUCCUCUGGAUUUGGGUACCAUGGAGAAGGUGGCAGAGCCCCCUGUCAUCUGACCUAGCUCAAGAACACAGAUCUUCUAUAAUUAAAUGUCUCCCUCAACAAAAUGCUAAUAAAACAAUGCAAUGGCUGCACC